rnacentral:rRNA from 1 species
GGGAGGGAGCAGUGGGGAAUAUUGCACAAUGGGCGCAAGCCUGAUGCAGCCAUGCCGCGUGUGUGAAGAAGGCCUUCGGGUUGUAAAGCACUUUCAGCGGGGAGGAAGGCGAUAAGGUUAAUAACCUCAUCGAUUGACGUUACCCGCAGAAGAAGCACCGGCUAACUCCGUGCCAGCAGCCGCGGUAAUACGGAGGGUGCAAGCGUUAAUCGGAAUUACUGGGCGUAAAGCGCACGCAGGC